CUAAGCAGCCAGUGAUGGAUGCUGAUGGGUAAUAAGGAGUCAGCAGAAGGCAUAGUACCUUGAGGAAGUACAACUUAAGGGAAGGCC
rfam:Vibrio metschnikovii CIP 69.14 VIB.Contig146, whole genome shotgun sequence.